ACGUAGGGGGCGAGCGUUGUCCGGAUUUAUUGGGCGUAAAGGGCGUGUAGGCGGUCUGCUAAGUCAGAGGUGAAAAUCCAGGGCUCAACCCUGGAACUGCCUCUGAAACUGGUGGACUUGAGUGCUCUAGAGGGCAGUGGAAUUCCCGGUGUAGCAGUGAAAUGCGUAGAGAUCGGAAAGAACACCAAUGGCGAAAGCACUCUGCUGGGCCGACACUGACACUGAGAGACGAAAGCUAGGGGAGCGAAUGGGA
rnacentral:rRNA from 1 species